AACGAACGCUGGUGGCAGGCUUAACACAUGCAAGUCGAACGCUCGUAGCAAUACGGGAGUGGCGGACGGGUGAGUAACGCGUGGGAACGUGCCCUGAGGUACGGAAUAACUGAGGGAAACUUCAGCUAAUACCGUAUGAGCCCCGAGAGGGGGAAAGAUUUAUCGCCUUGGGAGCGGCCCGCGUCGGAUUAGCUAGUUGGUGGGUAACGGCCUACCAAGGCUUCGAUCCGUAGCUGGUCUGAGAGGACGAUCAGCCACACUGGGACUGAGACACGACCAGACUCCUACGGAGGCAGCAGUGGGGAAUCUUGCGCAAUGGGGGCAACCCUGACGCAGCCAUGCCGCGUGAACGAUGAAGGCCUUAGGGUUGUAAAAGUUCUUUUACCCGUGACGAUGAUGACGGUAACGGGGGAAUAAGCUCCGGCUAACUUCGUG
rnacentral:rRNA from 1 species